UGGCCGCGACGCCGAUGGAUGGCGGCGGUUUUCGCUGCUGCUCACCGGAAUAGAAGGGGGUAGCAUCUGGUCUGGGCUGGGGAUUUGUUGAGGUCAGGACGGUGGCGGCCUGGGAGUCACCGGUCGGCGGCAGCUUUUGUUGUUGCGUCGCCGGAGUCGGGGAAGAGAGCGGCUUCCGCUGCUCGUUGGCGGAAGUUAGAGAGAGAGGAGGCCGCUGCACGGCGGCUCUGCCCGCUGAUGUCGGGCGGUGACCGUGACGGCGGUUGCUGCCGCCGAGAGAGAGGGAGAAGAGGAGGGGCGUCGGGAGAGGCAGAGAGCGAGAGAGAGUGAGCGGCUGAGAGGGAGAGUUCUGGGGGGGGGUGUCAGGCGGCAGCGGCGGCGCGGUGUCGCCGGCGGUCGCUGCUGCAGCGUGUGUGUGUGUGCGUGGGGAGUGACUGUGAGUGUGAGAGAGACGAAAUGGGGGGAUGGCGCAGCUGCGUGAGUUGAAUUGUGUGUGUUUGUGUGUGUGCGUGUUGACUGUGUGUGUUUAGGGGGGGAAAUAGGGUUUGUGUUGGGCUUGGGGUUUUGGGCUCCUAUUUUGGGCCGAGUUAAAUCAUUUGGGCCGAUUUUAAUAAAUGUUUGGGCUUGUUUUUAUUUUUUUUUAUUGGGCCAUGUCUAUUUAUUUAGUUGGGCCUUUAUUUUAUUUAAGGAUUUUGGGGUGCAGUUUUAAUUCGAAAGAGUUGGGCCCGAUUUAUUUAUAAUAAACUUGGGUAGCCCUUGUAUUUUGGGCUACGAAAUUUUAUAAAAAUGGGAGGGUGUCUUUGAUUUAAUUAAUUUAAAUGGGCUACCCAAUAUUUAUUAAUUAGUCUUAUAAUAAAGUUUGAUUAAUUAUUUUAAAGAUAAUUAGCAAAAUAAUAUUAUUAUUAUGAAGUGCAUAUUUUAAGUAAUUACUUAUAUGCUAAGCAUGACAUGAAAUUGCAUUAUAUUUUUGCAAUAAGAGUAUUUAUGAUUUAAUUGGUUUUAAUUAUAAUUCCAAUUUUUAAAGAAAAUCGAGUAAGGAUAUUGUUGGUGUCCUUAACUCAAGAAAUUUAGUUUUCAAUUAUUUAUUCAUUAAAUUUUUGAAAACCCGGCUAAGUGAAUCAUAGAAUAUUAAGCACUACACCAUGACUUAAGAUUAGCUUCACGAGACCUAUUAAGAAUAGAAUUUCUUGUAGGCUUUGUGACCAGGGGGAUUAGCGCUGCUUUCCCAAGACAGGUUUAUAUGUGAUUAUGAUCUUCAGGCUUUGCCUAACCAGGUUGGCUGGCCGGUGCUGACGGGACGGAGCUGAGGCUAGAGAUAAAUUCCUAUGUUAGACUUCCGCUGUAGCAAUUACUCUUAUACAUCUUUUGUUUUCUCAACUUAAGAUGACUUCAUUUGAGCUUCAAUUUAAAAUUUAUAGUUUUAUGUUAAUGAACGUCGGUUGUCAGAAGCAUGAAACAAAACUUGUGAUCCAAAGGGGCCUAGCCUGACUUUCUAUCCUAUUUCGGGUUUUAACAAGGUAUUUCCCUUGUUUAUUUCUAUGAAUUAUUCACACCUCGAUUAUAUUUA